rnacentral:rRNA from 1 species
UACGGGGGGGGCAAGCGUUGUUCGGAAUUACUGGGCGUAAAGGGCUCGUAGGCGGCCAACUAAGUCAUACGUGAAAUCCCUCGGCUUAACCGGGGAACUGCGUCUGAUACUGGAUGGCUUGAGUUCGGGAGAGGGAUGCGGAAUUCCAGGUGUAGCGGUGAAAUGCGUAGAUAUGUGGAGGAAUACCGGUGGCGAAGGCGGCCUCCUGGCUUAAUACUGACGCUGAGGUGCGAAAGCGUGGGGAUCAAACAGG